GACGAACGCUGGCGGCGUGCCUAAUACAUGCAAGUAGAACGCUGAAGCGAGGAGCUUACUCUUCUUGGAUGAGUUGCGAACGGGUGAGUAACGCGUAGGUAACCUGCCUUGUAGCGGGGGAUAACUAUUGGAAACGAUAGCUAAUACCGCAUAACAAUGGAUGACACAUGUCAUUUAUUUGAAAGGGGCAAUUGCUCCACUACAAGAUGGACCUGCGUUGUAUUAGCUAGUAGGUGAGGUAAUGGCUCACCUAGGCGACGAUACAUAGCCGACCUGAGAGGGUGAUCGGCCACACUGGGACUGAGACACGGCCCAGACGCAUACGGGAGGCAGCAGUAGGGAAUCUUCGGCAAUGGGGGCAACCCUGACCGAGCAACGCCGCGGGAGUGAAGAAGGUUGUCGGAUCGUAAAGCUCGGUUGUAAGUCAAGAACGGGUGUGAGAGUGGAAAGUUCACACUGUGACGGUAGCUUAACAGAAAGGGACGGCUAACUACGUG
rnacentral:rRNA from 1 species